rnacentral:rRNA from 1 species
AUGCAAGUCGAGGGGAAACGACAUUGAAGCUUGCUUCGAUGGGCGUCGACCGGCGCACGGGUGAGUAACGCGUAUCCAACCUGCCUCUGACUAAGGGAUAACCCGGCGAAAGUCGGACUAAUACCUUAUGAGGUUUUCUGCAGACAUCUAACGAAAACGAAAGAUUUAUCGGUCAGUGAUGGGGAUGCGUCUGAUUAGCUUGUUGGCGGGGUAACGGCCCACCAAGGCAACGAUCAGUAGGGGUUCUGAGAGGAAGGUCCCCCACAUUGGAACUGAGACACGGUCCAAACUCCUACGGGAGGCAGCAGCGAGGAAUAUUGGUCAAUGGGCGAGAGCCUGAACCAGCCAAGUAGCGUGCAGGAUGACGGCCCUAUGGGUUGUAAACUGCUUUUAUGUGGGGAUAAAGUGAGCUACGUGUAGUUUAUUGCAGGUACCACAUGAAUAAGGACCGGCUAAUUCCGUGCCAGCAGCCGCGGUAAUACGGAAGGUCCAGGCGUUAUCCGGAUUUAUUGGGUUUAAAGGGAGCGUAGGCCGUGGAUUAAGCGUGUUGUGAAAUGUAGACGCUCAACGUCUGAAUUGCAGCGCGAACUGGUUCACUUGAGUAUGCACAACGUAGGCGGAAUUCGUCGUGUAGCGGUGAAAUGCUUAGAUAUGACGAAGAACUCCGAUUGCGAAGGCAGCUUACGGGAGCACAACUGACGCUGAAGCUCGAAGGUGCGGGUAUCAAACAGGAUUAGAUACCCUGGUAGUCCGCACAGUAAACGAUGGAUGCCCGUUGUUAGUUCACUUAUGAAUUAGCGACCAAGCGAAAGCAUUAAGCAUCCC